UGGUGUCCCUAAAGGAUGGAUGAAGUCAAGUGAGGAAGGGAGUCAGCUCUACUGUUUAGCAGGACCAAGGAAGCAAUCGAGGUACCAUCUCACACCUCCUCAUGCACCCUCCUUUCUGCCCCUACUGCAGCCAGGAAGGAGAAGUGAAGAAAAGUCUUAGCCCUUGUAAAGGUGCUGUUUGAAAGGCUCCUACCAGCCAAAACUGCAACAAUCUGGACUCCGAUGGAAUAAUGACAGCCGUGGAUGAAAACGUCAAAUGUGCUAGAGUCUAAUGAAACGAAAGCAUUCAGACAGACCCCUAGGGACGCACUGCAAACCUCUGGGCCAGCAUUGCUCAAUGCUGUCCAAGACAUCACAGUCAGAGAGAGGCUGAGAAACCAUCGCAGCUAAGAAGACAAAAGGCUACGGCAAUGAACUGCCAGGCGGUAUCCUGAUGUCACGUCAGGUCAGAAUAUGCCUGCCAGAGAGCAAUAGAGGAGAGGGCACACGAGGUGGUUCGUCCAUGUGGUUCACAUAUAAAUCUAUGAUCUGAAUCUUUA